rnacentral:rRNA from 1 species
AAUCAUAGCACAGGNAGGCAAACCGGGGGAACUGAAACAUCUAAGUACCCCGAGGAAGAGAAAUCAACCGAGAUUCCGAAAGUAGCGGCGAGCGAAAUUGGAUUAGCCCUUAAGCUUUUAAUGAUGCAGGUGAAGAGUCUGGAAAGUNUCGCAAUAAAGGGUGAUAGCCCCGUAACCGACANNUCAUAAUCAGUGAAAACGAGUAGGGCGGGACACGUGAUAUCCUGUCUGAAUAUGGGGGGACCAUCCUCCAAGGCUAAAUACUACUGACUGACCGAUAGUGAACCAGUACCGUGAGGGAAAGGCGAAAAGAACCCCUGUGAGGGGAGUGAAAUAGAACCUGAAACCGUGUACGUACAAGCAGUAGGAGCACCUUCGUGGUGUGACUGCGUACCUUUUGUAUAAUGGGUCAGC